AUCUGAUGAUUGAGAUGUGAGAACCACAUAUUCCUUUAUUUACUAUAUAUUUAUUUAAAGAAAAAGAAAAAGAAAAAGAAAAAGGGUACAUGAAAUAAAGGGAGGAGAAAAAAGACACCCAUCUCAAACAAUUAAUGGUUCAAAAACUAAUUUUACCCUCAAAUGUAAGACCCCGACUUUCCCCUCACUCCAUUCAGUACCCCAAACACCCUCAAGUGACCAAGCCUGUCUAAAAGAGCAGAAAUGGAUGCCUUCAUAAGUAAAUGUUUAUUUAGUAGUUUCACCAACCAUUUAUCACAGGAACAAAAGAACAGGCUUAUUUGUGAACUUUGAACGCCCCUCAACAAUUAUAAAGAGAGGUCAAGACAUUGAAGGAUCCUUUAGAAUCGAGAUCGCUUCCAUUGCUUACUGCCAGUCCUUUAUUUACAAAGCCAGGUGAUCAUCCAUUCCCACUAAACAAACUCCAACUAUACCAUACAACAACACAUAUACUGAUUAAACCUUAAUAUCUGACAUCCCCUUAGAUGCCUUGUAUGACGGCUAAUCAGUAUUACUGAGGAUUAUAAGGUAACUCAUGUACUGCAUUCUUGUAUUUGUUUACUCAGAAUGGGCAAAUCUGAAAUAUUUAUUGCUUCCCGGGAGAAAAGUUCCCAAUUCCAUUUUGGUGUUACUGAAGUAGUUUCCUCGACAUAUUUUCAAAUAACAUACACAAUGAUUAUCAAUGAGUCGAAUUACAAUCCGUAGAAAAUAAUGAUGAGGAAUAUAGCAUCAAGCUACUGAGAUGCAGCUUUGUCUUUCUUCUCUGACAAGUACCUAGUGGAAUGUAGUUAUGUUACCAAAAAAAAAAAAAAGAAAAAAAAAGGCUUAUUACUUUGCCCA